GUCUGGUUCAAGGACUGUACUGCUUCCACUGUGUCUUCAGUAUUUCAUAUUGCUCACUUGUCUUAUCAGAAAACAAGAGGCACUUGAGCUGAUAGCAUGAAGUGCCUCAUAUAAAAGAGCAUUUUUAAAACACUUUCUUUCAUGUGCUUCUCUGCAGUACUUUUUAUGCAAAGAGCAAAAGCUGACCCUCUGUACUGUUGUUGCAGGAAGGAAAGGAUGUUCUCACUUUCAGAGGCUUUAAGUUCUCACUGAAGAUGUGAUCAUCUUUUCCUGGUACCUUCAUACAUCAUCUAACAUAACAGAAGGACAUUUUUAGACAAACACCUUCAGUAAUGAUACAACAUGAUCAUUUUUUUUGUAGUGUGAGAGAUACUGAAGACAAAAGUAUCCCUAUGAUCCAGAGCAAAAAAGAAAUUACCUUGACGUGAAGGAAAAUGCCCUGGAAUUAUAGGUUUCUAAUCUUGCCAGUCCUUGCCAGUCCAGGAAAUAAGCAAGGGACAGAGAUGCUGGAAAUGCCACCAUUGCAUAAAGAAGCCACAUUUAGGAAUCUUGCAAACCUGAUUUGUGGAUUGAAAUGGGUAUUUGCUAGGUGGUGUUAUCUACAUGUUCCUACAAGAAUGUUUACAUAGUUCAGAAUAGAAACAAAUGUUUCAUAGGGUAAAAUACAGGAUCUGAAAUGUUUUCUCAACAAGUCUCCUUAAAAUAGUUUGCUCUAACAAACAAACGAAUGGGAAUCUAAUUCUGUUACUUUUCAGCCAGAACCACUGACAAGAUAUCACUGAAAAGAUGGAAAUGGCACUCAGUGUGGGUCUAAGAUUUUUCUCUCAUGAAAACAGAAGAAAUCUAUGUCUUAGUCUUGUCUGUUCUCAAACUGCAGAGGAUGAAUACUGCAUAGAACAUGAGGAGUCCAGCUCUCAAGGAUGAGAAAUGAGCUUCAGAGCAACUGAUCAUUUAAGAGGACCAUGCAUUUCAUAGCGUGCUAUAAUUUUACAAUUCAACUUCAAAGUCCCUUUUGUCAUCCUGGGUUAACGAACUCCAGGAUCUGCACUGGGAAAAGUCUAUGUCUUUCCCUACUUGUUUAAGGUUUAUUUGGCUUCAUGACCUACUGUAAGAACAUAAACUCAUCACAAUUCCUCCAGCUUUCAGUUAAGAAAUACUUAAAAUUAUAAUGUUUUUCUGUGCAUGAAGGCAUGGAGAACUUGUGAGUAAAACUUGGCCUGUAACCCAUGAGUCCAGCUUUAUAAAACAGAGUAGUGACUGCCUGCAAAAGUACCACCCCACUAUUUAGCUGCUUGUUGGCCACAACCCUGACUUUCAAAAGAAAAGCCCCACCUCUGUGCAGGAGGUGAAUGCCACGAUAAGCAUAACACAUUAUGAUAGUCCAUACUUCAUGCCACACCAAGAUACAGACUUAUAAUUAGUUACUUAAUUGGACACUCAGAA
rnacentral:lncRNA from 1 species